rnacentral:rRNA from 1 species
CCAAUAGCGUAUAUUAAAGUUGUUGCAGUUAAAAAGCUCGUAGUUGAAUUUCGGGGUCAGUAGGUUGGUCGUGCCACUGGUAUGCACUGGUCUCACUGAUUCCUCCUUCCUGAUGAACCGUAAUGCCAUUAAUUUGGUGUUGCGGGGAAUCUGGACUGUUACUUUGAAAAAAUUAGAGUGUUUAAAGCAGGCUAACGCUUGAAUACAUUAGCAUGGAAUAAUGAAAUAGGACGUUCGAUCUUAUUUUGUUGGUUUCUAAGAUUGACGUAAUGAUUAAUAGGGAUAGUUGGGGGCAUUAGUAUUCAAUUGUCAGAGGUGAAUUUCUUGGAUUUAUUGAAGACUAACUACUGCGAAAGCAGUUGCCAAGGAUGUUUUCAUUAAUCAAGAAAGAAAGUUAGGGGAUCGAAGACGAUCAGAUACCGUCGUAGUCUUAACCAUAAACUAUGCCGACGAGGGAUCGGAUGAUGUUAAUUUUUUAAUGACUCAUUCGGCGCCUUACG